rnacentral:rRNA from 1 species
CUACGGGGUGCUCCAGUGGGGAAUAUUGCACAAUGGGGGAAACCCUGAUGCAGCAACGCCGCGUGGAGGAUGACGCAUUUCGGUGUGUAAACUCCUUUUAUAUAGGAAGAUAAUGACGGUACUAUAUGAAUAAGCACCGGCUAACUCCGUGCCAGCAGCCGCGGUAAUACGGAGGGUGCAAGCGUUACUCGGAAUCACUGGGCGUAAAGCGCGCGCAGGCGGCCUUUUAAGUUGGAUGUGAAAGCCUAUGGCUUAACCAUAGAACUGCAUCCAAAACUAUCAGGCUAGAGUCUGGGAGGGGAAGAUGGAAUUAGUUGUGUAGGGGUAAUAUCCGUAGAGAUAACUAGGAAUACCAAAAGCGAAGGCGAUCUUCUGGAACAGUACUGACGCUGAGGCGCGAAAGCGUGGGGAGCAAACAGGAUUAGAUACCCGAGUAGUC